rnacentral:rRNA from 1 species
GAUGAACGCUGGCGGCGUGCCUAAUACAUGCCAGUCGAGCGAACAGACGAGGAGCUUGCUCCUCUGACGUUAGCGGCGGACGGGUGAGUAACACGUGGAUAACCUACAUAUAUGACUGGGAUAACUUCGGGAAACCGGAGCUAAUACCGGAUAAUAUACUGAACCGCAUGGUUCAAUAGUGAAAGACGGUUUUGCUGUCACUUAUAGAUGGAUCCGCGCCGCAUUAGCUAGUUGGUAAGGUAAUGGCUUACCAAGGCAACGAUGCGUAGCCGAACUGAGAGGGGGAUCGGCCACACUGGAACGGAGACACGGUCCAGACUCCUACGGGAGGCAGCAGUAGGGAAUCUUCCGCAAUGGGCGAAAGCAUGACGGAGCAACGCCGCGUGAGAGAUGAAGGUCUUCGGAUCGUAAAACUCUGUUAUUAGGGAAGAACAAAUGUGUAAGUAACUAUGCACGUCUUGACGGUACCUAAUCAGAAAGCCACGGCUAACUACGUG